ensembl:lncRNA
UUUGCAUUUUAUUUGAUAUUUUUAUUGACCAAAGUAUCAGCUACCACAUGUAAAGGAGCAACAAGUUAAUUAAAAAAAAAAGCUUUACAUUAAAAUGCACUUAACUGGAAUUAUGUCAACUCUGUAAGAUUCAAUAAAAGGGAUUUUGAUGUAUUGUCCAACAAGUGUUUAAAGGCCUUGAUUGUUUAAUUCGAACACAAAGUUCAAAUAUGUAAAGCAAAUCUCAAAAUGUAUUUGUUAAAAAAAAAAAAAAUCACUAUAUAAUGCUCCAGCGCUAAUUUCGUAACCACUAUGAUACCACUAACAACAGGUACAGUGCUUUCGGAAAGUACUCAGACCCCUUCAAUUGUUCCACAUUUUGUGUGUGCAUAUAUUCAGACCCUUUACUCAGUACUUUGUUGAAGCACCUUUGGCAGCAAUUACAGCCUUAAUUCUUCUUGGGUAUGACAUUACAAGCUUGGCACACCUGUAUUUGGGGAGUUUCUCCCAUUCUUCUCUGCAGAUCCUCUCAAGCUGUCAGGUUGCAUUGGGAGCGUCUCUCCAGAGAUGUUCGAUUGGGUUCAAGUCCGGGCUCCGGCCGGACCACUCAAGGACAUUCAAAGACUUGUCCCAAAGCCACUCUUGCAUUGUCUUGGCUGUGUGCUUAGGGUCAUUGUCCUGUUGGAAAGUGAAUCUUAGUCCCAGUCUGAGGUCCUGAGCAGGUUUUCAUCAAGGAUCUGUGUAUUCUGCUCCAUUCAUCUUUCCUGAAAAAAAAUCCCCACAACACAAUGCUGCCAUUACCAUGUUUCACCGUAGUGAUGGUAUAACCGGAAGGUUGCAAGUUCAAUUCCCCGAGCUGACAAGGUACAAAUCUGUCGUUCUGCCCCUGAACAGGCAGUUAACCCACUGUUCCUAGCCAGUCAUUGAAAAUAAGGAUUUGUUCUUAACUGACUUGCCUAGUAAAAUAAAAGGUAAAAUAAAAAAAUAAAAAUAGGCCAGGUGAUGAGUGGUGCCUGGUUUCCUCCAGACGUGACACUUGGCUUUCAGGCCAAAGAGUUCAAUCUUGUUUCUCAUGUUCAGAGUCCUUUAGGUGCCUUUUGGCAAACUCCAAGCAGGCUGUCACGAGAGAGCUUUUACUGAGGAGUGGCUGCUAUCUGGCCACACUACUAUAAAGGCCUGUUGGUGGAGCACUGCAGAGAUGGUUGUCCUUCUGGAAGGCUCCCCCACCUGGAAGGCUCUGUCAGCGUGACCAUUGGGUUCUUGGUCACCUCCUUGACCAAAACCCUUUUCCCCCGAUUGCUCAAUUUGGCCGGACGGCCAGCUCUAGGAAGUCUCUUGGUGGCUCCAAACUUCUUACAAUUAAGAAUGAUACAGGGCAAUGUGUUCUUGGGGACCUUCAAUGCGGCAGACAUGUUUUGGUACCACCCCCCCAGAUCUGUGCCUCGACACAAUCAUGUCUCUGAGCUGUACUGAAAAAGUGAAGGGGUCUGAAUACUUUCCGAUUGCACUAUAUAGCAAAGAGUAUCCCUAGGUCUAGCACAGCAAAUACUUUAAUGAUCCAAUGCAGCUUUUUUUUAAUCCUCAGUAUCAAAUAAUUUCCCGGUAAUAAUGAAAUACAUUAGUGAUUGUUUUCAAUUCAAAUGGUCAAAAAUAAAACAUUUAUUUUCUCCGGCAAGAAUUUUGGCAGGACUGUCUGGGAGUGUUCUGAGUGAGUAGGAGAAAAUGAAAUAUUUGCCGUUAUUGGCAGAGAGGUUUGGAACUCUUUCUUAUUAGUCUAUUAACGUUACCAGGCAGGCCAAAACUCCAUCCCACCAAAACAGGUUGAAAUUUCAGUCUUUUCAGACAGCCCUUACACUAAAAUGGCAUUGUCAUUUUCACAAUUCCACAGUAUUAUUCCAACCUCACAGUUAUGAAUUACAGUACCAGUCAAGUUUGGACACACUUACUCAUUCCAGGGUUUUUAUUUUUUAUUAUUUUCUACAUUGUAGAAUAAGAGUGAAGACAUCAAAACCAUGAAAUAGCACGUGGAAUCAUGUAGUAACCAAAAAAGUGUAAAACAUUUCAAUAUAUUUGAGAUUCUUCAAAGUAGUCACCCUUUGCCUUGAUGACAGCUUUGCACACUUGUACAAACUUUCGACUGGUACUGUAUAUAUAAAGCACAUGAAAGUCACGUUUUGACUGCACUGGUCCUUAAUUAGUUCAUGCAAGAACUGCAGAACAGUGAAUAUUGACAACAAUUUGGGUAGCCAUCAAUGACAGCGUUGACAUGCCACUGAAGGAGAUGACAGUUCAUGACAACAAUCAUGACCGGAAGACAUACAAAUAAAGGUUUAGGUUUUUAUUGCCAUCCUCAAGUUUGAGUUACAUGCUCCGCAUUGCAAUCAUAUUGAUUAUCUUGUCCUGAAUUUUUGUGUCUGAAACAAAACGGUCUCAUUUAUAUAGGAAGAGAGAAGGCUAAAAAAUAAAAGACUAAGUACCAAAAUCAUACCAACAUAUUUUUAACCUUUAAAAUCAAUUAACGGCAUUUAAAAGCCGAUUGGGUUUGGACAAGUAAAGAGAAGAGCCAAAUGUCCUAUAAAACAUUGAGUCUGGACUAGAAAAGGUCAAAGCUGCAUUACCAGAAUAACUCAAGAGUGUGGAAUGCUACAAUUAGCAAAAGUGUGUGAUUGCAGCCCCCAAUUUGUGGCGUUCCUGUAUGUGUUCCUGGAGAGGAGUGGCUAGCUCUUGUGGCUGUUUCGUGCUAUUACAGGACAGGGAUAGGUACAGUACAGAGACACUGUGUCAUGGGAAAGGUGGGUGUCACUGCACGUCACUCCCAAGAGCAGGAGUACAAUUGGGUGGUGGGGGGGUGCUGGAGAUUGGUAAGAGUUGGAUCCUGUCUUGGAUGAUGCAGUUGCCUAAUGUUGGUCCCCUUGACUGGGACAACCAUGGAGGGUCCUUCAACUAUACCUGUACCACAGGAAGUAAUAUAGAUAUCAGAGAGAGAGAGACAUCUGUUAUACCAACAAAAUGUUCAAAAUCCUAUUAUUCUACUCCAUUUAAUGUGUAACAGUACAGUUAUACCAUCGAGAAGAACUAUUGGCUGGCCAACUGAUUCAUCUAGCUGCACGUGCCAAGGGGGACCUGUGAAGGGUCUUCACAGUGAGUCAGGGCUGGUGCCAGAAAAAAUCAGUUGCACGGGCAUUUGACGUCGAUAGGGGUGACAAUUUAUUUUCACAGGUCCGCCUGCAUGUGCACAUUGCCAUACUUUUUUGGGCCAGACAGAAUCAGAUACAUGGGCACUGUUUUGUUCACUCAGAUGCUUUAUCAGAGAUUGAUCCGUCUUUCUGUCGGUGUGCAUCUUGGCCAAAUAAAAUAUUUUAUUUGGACAGGCAGGGGGUAUGAUGGGGGUAAUGGCCCGUCCUAAGUCCCACCCAUAACACCAGCCCUGUGGAGAGUACAGGUUCAUGCUUUAUCACAGUAGCAGGUGCAGCUCUGAGGGUGGCUGCACGCCAAUAUUCAAUUACAUGUAAGAAAAAAUAACACAAACAGAAGGCUAAACAUCUAUGUCUGACGUUAAACUCUUGAACGUUACUUCAAAAUUUAGAUUUUUGCCUAAGUAGACUAGUGAAGCUGCAUAGUUCUAGAAAGUUUUGGAACUCCCCUUUCUGGUAAAAAUAGUUAUACAUUGCUGAGGUGUACUUCACUUUUGAGGACACAAGCUCAAAUACAUAGUACAAAUAUUAUGAAAACAUAUAUAUAUUUUAUUAAACAUACAGUCCCUUCAGAAACUAUUCCUACCCCUUGACGUGUUCCACAUUUUGUUGUGUUACAGCCUGAAUUCAAAAUGGAUAAAAUAGAUUUUUUUCUCACCCAAAUGUAAUAAAAAAAUUAAAUACAGAAAUAUCUAAUUUCCAUAAGUAUUCACACCCCUGAGUCAAUACUUUGUAGAAGCACCUUUGGCAGCGAUUACAGCUGUGAGUCUUUCUGGGUAAGUUUUGGAUUGUGCAACAUUUGCACAUUAUUAUUUUCAAAAUGCUUCAAGCUCUGUCAAAUUGGUUGUUGAUCAUUGCUAGAAAACCAUUGUUAUGUCUUUCCAGAGAUGUUCAAGUAGAUUUAAGUGAAAACUAACUCAGCCAUUCAGGAACAUUCAAUGUCAUUUUGGUAAGCAACUCUAGUGUAGAUUUAGCAUUGCGUUUUAAGUUAUUGUCCUGCUGAAAGUUGAAUUCAUCUCCCAGUGUCUGGUAGAAAGCAGAUGUUAUGUUUCCCUCUAGGAUUUUGCCUGUGCUUAGCUCUAUUCUGUUUGUUUUUUUUAUCUUGAAAAACUCCCCAGUCCUCAACGAUUAUAAGCAUACCCAUAACACGAUGCAGCCACCACUAUGUUUGAAAAUAUAGAGAGCGGUACCCAGUAAUGUGUUUUAUUGGAUUUGCCCCAAACAUAGCACUUUGUAUUCAGGACAAAAAGAUAAUUGCUUUGCCACAUUUUUUGCAGUAUUACUUUAGUUCCUUGUUGCAAGCAGGAUGCACGUUUGGAAUAUGUUUUAUCCUAUACAGGCUUCCUUCUUUUCACUCUGUCAAUUACGCUAGUAUUGUGUAGUAACUGCAAUGUUGUUGAUCCAUCUUAAGUUCUCUCCUAUCACAGCCACUAAACUCAAACUGUUUUAAAGUCACCAUUGGCUUCAUUGUGAAGUGAAAUCCCUGAGCGGUUUCCUUCCUCUCCGGCAACUGAGCUCGGAAGGAUGCCUGUAUCUUUGUAGAGUCUGUUUUUUAAUACCCUAUCCAAAGUGUAAUUAAUAACUUCAUACUCAAAGGGAUAUUUAAUGUAUGCUUUUUAAAAUGUUUUACCCAUCUACCAAUAGGUGCCCUUCUUUGUGAGACAUUGGAAAACCUCCCUUGUCUUUGUGGUAGAAUCUGUUUCUGAAAUGUAGUGCUCGCCUGAGGGACCUUAGAAAUAAAUGUAUGUUUGGGGGCAGAGAUGAGGUAGUCAUUAAAAAAUAAUGUUAAAGACUAUUAUUGAAUGCAGAGCGAGUCCAUGCAACUUAUUAUUUGAGUUGGCAAGCACAUUUUUACUCCUGAACUUAUUUAGGCUUGCCAUAACAAAGGGGCAUUUCAGCUUUUCAGUUAAUUAAUUUGUCAAAUAAAAUCUAAAAACAUAAUUCCACUUUGACAUCAUGGGGUUUUGUGUGUGGGCCAGUGACAAAAACAUCUACAUUUGAUCAAUUUUAAAUUCAGGCUGUAACACAACAAAAUGUGGAAAAAGUCAAGGGGUGUGAAUACUUUCUGAAGGCACUGUAUAUGAUUUUUCCCCCUAUUCAACGAAAGCGGGGCAAUAGGGCUUGAAAUGACUGAAAUUCUUUCUAAAUAUAGUAACAAUCAAAUGGUAAACAGCUUUCUACCUAGAUGUCACCUGUCUUAUAACUGUUAAAUAAAUAUUAUCAUAUUUAGUGAUGGUACAAAUUUAGCUCCCAUUUCAUAUAACCUCCUCUGAGUGAUGCAGAAAGAUAAUUUGAAUGUCUGCUGACUCGUUAAAAUUCAACUUCAGAAAGUGGUGGUGUUUCAAUUCCACAAAAUUAUUUAGUAUUUCUACAUGUUGAGAGCUCUAAAUCCGGCUGAGAAUAUCACAAUCUCAAAAAUCCCCCAACUCCAAAAACACUCCAUACACCCACAAGCACGCCCUCACCCAACUCCCCACUCUGCCCAACGCAUACCUCGCCAAACGGCUUCAUGGGAACGUUGCACAACACAACUGCUACCACACACAGUGGAGUACUUGUGUAAGAUUUCAGACCAGCAGCAUUCUUUUGACUCCCCCAGUUACAGUGAUUACUGAUGUUGAGAAACAGCCAACAUGCCAAGCAAUCUGCCAGAUAGGCAGAGUAGAUGGCACAUCUCAGGGGUAAUGUGUGGGACAAGUAAUCAGAUGACAGACAAGUAAAACAAAGCUCAGAACUAUAGUUAAUGUGAUUCGAUCAAGAUUAAGGAAUUAAGAAGUGUAUUGAAUCCAAUAUUUGUAUAUGUUAACUUUAAUCCAUCAUAACAAUAAAGGCACCAUAUGACACUAUUAAACUCCAUGAUGCAAUAUAAAGAAAGCACAGCCUACACACAGCCAUCUAUUGUCGGGUACAACAAUGGACUAGUAUGCACUACAUCAAGUCCUGUACAACACGCCAAUGCAACAGACGCUAUGAACUAUGACAUAAUUAAGACUUGGUAAUAGAGGUUGACCGAUUAUGAUUUUUCAACGCCGAUACCGAUUAUUGGAGGACCAAAAAAAGCUGGUACCGAUUAAAUCGGCAGAUUUUUAAAAAUGUAUUUGGAAUAAUGACAAUUACAACAAUACUGAAUGAACACUUAUCAAUAAAAUCAAUUAAGCCUCAAAUAAAUAAUGAAAUAUGUUCAAUUUGGUUUAAAUAAUACAAAAACAAAGUGUUGGAGAAGAAAGUAAAAGUGCAAUAUGUGCCAUGUAAGAAAGCUAAAGUUUAAGUUCCUUGCUCAGAACAUGAGAAAAUAUGAAAGCUGGUGGUUCCUUUUAACAUGAGUCUUCAAUAUUCCCAGGUAAGAAGUUUUAGGUUGUAGUUAUAGGAAUUAUAUGACUAUUUCUCUCUAUACCAUUUGUUUUUCAUUAACCUUUGACUAUUGGAUGUUCUUAUAGGCACUUUAGUAUUGCCAGUGUAACAGUAUAGCUUCCGCCCCUCUCCUCGCUCCUACCUGGGCUCGAACCAGGAGCACAAUGACAACAGCCACCCUCAAAGCAGCGUUUUACCCAUGCAGAGCAAGGGGAAUAACUACUCCAAGUCUCAGAAUGAGUGAUGUUUGAAACGCUAUUAGCGCACACCCCGCUAACUAGCUAGCCAUUUCACAUCGGUUACACGAACCUAAUCUCAGGAGUUGAUAGGCUUGAAGUCAUAAACAGCGCAAUGCUUGACGCACAACAAAGAGCUGCUGGCAAAACGCACAAAAGUGCUGUUUGAAUGAAUGCUUACGAGCCAGCUGCUGCCUACCAUCGCUCAGUCAGACUGCUCUAUCAAAUCUUGGACUUAAUUAUAACAUAACACACACAAAUACAAGCCUUAGGUCAUUAAUAUGGUCAAAUCCGGAAACUAUCAUCUCGAAAACAAUACAUUUAUUCUUUUAGUGAAAUACGUAACCGUUCCGUAUUUUAUCUAAGGGAUGGCAUCCAUUAGUCGAAAUAUUCCUGUUACAUUGCAUAACCUUCAAUGUUAUGUCAUAAUUACGUAAAAUUCUGGCAAAUUAUGUGGCCCAAACUGUUGCAUAUACACUAACUCUGCGUGCAAUGAACGCAAGAGAAGUGGCACAAUUUCACCUGGUUAAUAUUGCCUGCUAACCUGGAUUUCUUUUAGCUAAAUAAGUAGGUUUAAAAAUAUAUACUUCUGUGUAUUGAUUUUAGGAAAGGCAUUGAUGUUCAUGUUUAGGUACA